GAUGAACGCUAGCUACAGGCUUAACACAUGCAAGUCGUGGGGCAGCGGAUACUUAGCUUGCUAAGUAUGCCGGCGACCGGCGCACGGGUGAGUAACGCGUACCGAACCUGCCCAUCACACAGGGAUAGGCUUGCGAAAGCAAGAUUAAUACCUGAUGGUCUCAGUUGUAUGCAUGUAUAAUUGAGUAAAGCCUUCGGCGGUGAUGGAUGGCGGUGCGUCCCAUUAGGAAGUUGGCGGGGUAACGGCCCACCAAUCCUUCGAUGGGUAGGGGUUUGAGAGGAAGGUCCCCCACAUUGGAACUGAGAUACGGUCCAAACUCCUACGGGAGGCAGCAGUGAGGAAUAUUGGUCAAUGGGCGGGAGCCUGAACCAGCCAAGUAGCGUGCGGGAUGAAGGCCCUUGUGGUCGUAAACCGCUUUUAUCAGUGAAUAAAGUGCACCACUGUGGUGUCAUUGCAGGUAGCUGAAGAAAAAGGACCGGCUAAUUCCGUGCCAGCAGCCGCGGUAAUACGGAAGGUCCGGGCGUUAUCCGGAAUUAUUGGGUUUAAAGGGAGCGCAGGCGGGAGUAUAAGUCAGCUGUUAAAUAUCAGAGCCCAACUCUGUUAUGCAGUUGAAACUAUAUUUCUUGAGUACGCACAGGGAUGGCGGAAUUCAGGGUGUAGCGGUGAAAUGCUUAGAUAUCCUGAAGAACUCCGAUCGCGAAGGCAGCCAUCCGGAGCGUAACUGACGCUGAGGCUCGAAGGUGCGGGUAUCGAACAGGAUUAGAUACCCUGGUAGUCCGCACGGUAAACGAUGAAUACUCGCAGUUCGGUCAUUAUGAUUGAGUUGUCCAGCGAAAGCGUUAAGUAUUCCACCCUGGGGAGUACGCCGGCAACGGUGAAACUCAAAGGAAUUGACGGGGGCCCGCACAAGCGGAGGAACAUGUGGUUUAAUUCGAUGAUACCCGAGGAACCUUUACCCGGGCCUUGAACCA
rnacentral:rRNA from 1 species